UACGUAGGGUGCAAGCGUUGUCCGGAAUUAUUGGGCGUAAAGAGCUCGUAGGCGGUCUGUCGCGUCGGCUGUGAAAUCCCGAGGCUCAACCUCGGGUCUGCAGUCGAUACGGGCAGACUAGAGUAUUGCAGGGGAGACUGGAAUUCCUGGUGUAGCGGUGAAAUGCGCAGAUAUCAGGAGGAACACCGAUGGCGAAGGCAGGUCUCUGGGCAUUAACUGACGCUGAGGAGCGAAAGCGUGGGGAGCGAACAGG
rnacentral:rRNA from 1 species